UGAAGUGAAUCGGUAACGGAUAUAAACCAAAUGUAGCGCCACAUUGUUCGGACGUGUUUGACGAUUGAAUGUUGUAAUAAACCGUAGUCAUAGUUACCAAAAAGGCUUAUCAGGCAACGAGAGACGAAAAAUUUACAAGCAUCCUCGAAGGACGAAAUAAACUUGUCCGUGGUUUUAGCUAUUUUGCUCGACCAUACGGCAUACAGUUUGCUGACACCUCGUCAAUAAGUUAAUUUUUUUCACAGCACGGAAUAACAUCUGAUACUCGCACUGACACGCAAUAAACAUCGUAGCGACGGAAAAUCCACUCUCCGGUAACCAGAACCCGGUCGACGAAUCCAGUCAGCUACAGAGUUACAGUGGUGAGGUGGAAAAGGAAUUAUUCAUUGAUACCGGAAAAUCAACGAUCGAAAGUCCGGUGAUUCCCCCGUAGUUAAUUUAAUUCCUUCAUUCGACCGAAAAUUGUAUUUCAACAAUUCCAUCGGAUCGUCGGAGCCAAAUCGGGUAAAGGUCGCAAAAACUCCCAGGAAGAGUCAUCUCUGCCGCCGAGUUCAUCA